AUGCAACUUCUAAACCAGCAACUUUCUGUAAAUGCUAACUUGGGUCAAGAAUGUGAGGAUAAUCGGGGACUAUACAAGACCCAGGCUAUCUGGACCACUGGUGAUAGGUGGUGGAAAGAAAACUUGAACUGCACCUGGAAAGACUGGAGUAUGCAAUAUUUUUUUAAAGACUUGAUUAACACCUGCUUAAAUAUUUUGUUCCAAUCUUUAAUUAAACAGUUAAGGUAGGACUUCAUCUUCUAGAUAUACAAUCAGACUGAGUCUGAAUAAUACUACACAGCUGCUAAUUUCCCUUUCCACGGAGAGAGUUAAACACCAAAGAUUUUUCACUUUCUUAAAGGGGUUAUUGCAAGAGGGUUCUUUACUUUCUAAAAGAAGCAAAAACUUCAGAAUAGGAAAAAAAGUGUAAGUAAACACUUGCAACCAUUGUUUUUAUUCUAAGAAUUAUAAAUACAUCUUUUCCCUUGUUCUGGGUGAGUUGUCUGGUCUGUAGUAAAAUUUAGUUAGACCAAUAAAACGAUACGAUGAGCAGAUUUCCCCCA
rnacentral:lncRNA from 1 species